rnacentral:rRNA from 1 species
GACGAACGCUGGCGGCGUGCUUAACACAUGCAAGUCGAGCGGAGCGGCGAACGGGGGAGGAACGCGUGAGUAAAUGCCCCCCUCUCUGGGAUAACAGUUGGACACGGCUGCUAAUACCGGAUAGCGGGGGAUGACUCGCGUCCUAUCAGCUUGUUGGUGGGGUCGUGGCCGACCACGGCGACGACGGGUCGCCGGCCUGAGAGGGCGACCGGCCACAUUGGGCUGAGAUACGGCCCAAACUCCUACGGGAGGCAGCAGUGGGGAAUAUUGCACAAUGGGGGAAACACUGAUGCAGCAACGCGCGUGCGGGAUGACGGCCUUCGGGUUGUAAACCGCUUUCAGCCAUGACGCGGUAGUGGCAGAAGAAGCACCGGCUAACUACGUGCCAGCAGCCGCGGUAAUUC